UGGGGAAUAUUGGACAAUGGGCGCAAGCCUGAUCCAGCCAUGCCGCGUGAGUGAUGAAGGCCCUAGGGUUGUAAAGCUCUUUCAACGGUGAAGAUAAUGACGGUAACCGUAGAAGAAGCCCCGGCUAACUUCGUGCCAGCAGCCGCGGUAAUACGAAGGGGGCUAGCGUUGUUCGGAAUUACUGGGCGUAAAGCGCACGUAGGCGGAUUGGUCAGUUAGGGGUGAAAUCCCAGGGCUCAACCCUGGAACUGCCUUUAAUACUGCCGGUCUAGAGUUCGAGAGAGGUGAGUGGAAUUCCGAGUGUAGAGGUGAAAUUCGUAGAUAUUCGGAGGAACACCAGUGGCGAAGGCGGCUCACUGGCUCGAUACUGACGCUGAGGUGCGAAAGCGUGGGGAGCAAACAGG
rnacentral:rRNA from 1 species